UGUCUCUGAAAGGAGAAAAAUUUGAAAGUUACCACUAUAAAGGCAUAGGGUACUAUUCAAGACUUCAAGUUCUGGGUAUGGAGAAAAUCCUGUUGCGAGCAUUACCCCCAAAAUAAACUCUGUUGUGCACGAUCUGAAUUAAUCGGGGUUUCAAUGUUGGUACUGAAUACCGGGUAGAAAACCCAAAAAAAAAAGCAUAGGGU
rnacentral:lncRNA from 1 species